rnacentral:tRNA from 1 species
CAAAAGUUAGCUCAUUUGGUAGAGCAAUCGACUUCCAAUCGAUCUGUAACAGGUUCAAAUCCUGUACUUUUAACCA